rnacentral:rRNA from 1 species
CCGGGUGGAGGUAAUAACAUCGGAACGGUAGGUCUUCUUAGUGGGGGAGGUAACUAGCCCGAAAGGACGAGCUAAUACCGCCAUGAGACCUCGAGGGUGGAAAGACGGGGGAGGCGCAAGACCUCGCGCUGGAAGAGCGGCCGAUGUCCGAUUAGCUAGUUGGUGAGGUAAAGGCUCACCAAGGCGACGAUCGGUAGCUGGUCUGAGAGGACGACCAGCCACACUGGGACUGAGACACGGCCCAG